GGAAGAUUUUAAUUAAUAUUUCCUAGUGUUGCCCUAUAGAUUCCACUAGGUGAGGUGUAGAGGGGAGGACUCUUAUUUUGACAGUCCCUGAUGGGUAGAGCAGGACCUCACGCUGCGUAUAAUCUCACGGAACCAUAGAUUCCUCUAGGUAGAGGGGAGGACUUUUAUUUUGAUAGCUACUGAUUGGCAGAACAGGAUUCUGCGCUGCUUAUAGUCUCGCGGGACCAGCACGAAGUAGCGUUUGGUCUCGUGGCGGCAGGUACAAGCUCCGGUCGGAAAGCUCCAGCUCGUGGGAAAGCUGUUUUAAAAGAACUCUGUGGGAGAUAGUUUUAUUGUGCUUACUGACUGGAAAGGACUAAAGGAACACCUGGAGGGUGUAUCAAGGGGGCACUGUGUGUGCGUGAGAGGAAUCCAUAGUUGAAGCAGUGAAUGUGGGAGUUCCAGGAAUCAGCUGGGGGUGUGUAGCUGCUGAGUGCGUUUGUAUUGAUGCUGAAGGUGCUGUGAAGGAGAUUGAGUUCUGGCUUCCGCAUUUACGACUGAUUGGUAUGUAUUAUCUGACUGGACACUUUAUUUAUGCAGUAAAAAGUAACUAAUACAGUCAAUGAGUGGAGUGGCUAACUUUUAUUUAUGUUUUAGGAGUGACCGAAAAAGGCCAAUGAUAGUAGCCACUGUUUUUCUCUCAAUCUUCUCUUACAUUUUCCCCCGUGUUUUAGGAUUGUAUCUUUACAUCUAAAUAUUUUUUUGAGUUUAAAUUAAAAUAAAAUUAUGGUUUUAGUGAUUUAACAUAGGCUUUUGGCCCAUGGUUGCCCUAGUUCCUCAUAGAACCAUUAUCUGGUGCCUUCCAGUACAGCUUCAACGUGCACAUUAACUUGAUUUAUGGGAAGUAACUGGUCCUUUUGGUUUAGAGCUUCAGCCCCUUAUUGAUAUAUUUACUUUGUAGUGUUAUGGUUUUGUGCACAUUUUAAUUUGAGUGUAUUUCGCUUUGUUUGCAGUGUGGUUUAUUAUUAUUAUUAUUAUUAUUAUUAUCAUUAUUUUCUUCGUUUUGGGUUUUCUUUUAUUUAUUUUGUGUGCUAAUUAAUUGGUGGCUUGAAGCCUGACUUAAUCGGCAAAUUUACUAAAUCCUUCAGUGUUACCAAGUGAAAGUACAUAGACUAUUGAGAUCAGUGUUAUAGCCCAGAUUGAAGCCUUAUUUAAUAGAAGAAUUUAUUAAAUCCUUAAGUGUUACCAAGUGAAAGUACUUAGAUAAUUGGGAUC